AGAAAAGUGGUUUUAUGUUAUACCUCAGGAUACCGACCUUCCUUUUAGCCCUAGGUGGGUUUUGCCCGACACUCCUCGAUUUUGUGAAGGCCAGGCCUAUUUUGAAUCUUUAGAGAGGCAUAGGGUAAUGUUAGAGAACCUCGAGCCUCUUGUAUAUGAUAUAGAUGACAUCCUCGGGGAUGACGUUCUCGAUCUCGCGGAUGUGAAAGGCACUGAGGGUAGGACCUUUUUACCUUCCUCUUUACUGAUCUGUCCUUGAACUUAUAAUUGUGCUCGUUCUAAUGACUUGUUCUUUUUUGCAGAGAUGACUUUUGAUCCUUCAGCCCUUAGGCAGGCCGUGACCAAGAAGUCAAAGGCCCCUCAGACCCGAGCUCCAGGGCAGAAGAGGGGAAAGAAGAGAGCUCGGGGAACGGAGAAUAUCAGGAGUGGCCCUGGCGAAACUUCUGCCCGAGGACAUACCCCGACCACACAGGCCACGGAGACUCCUACCGGUCCACCUCGGUCACAUCCUCGGCCAAGGAGUACUCCCGAGGUUGUUGACCUCGAGGAUGAUAUACGACCUAUGCCCUCUUUCCAAAACCAGGAGCCUGACUGGUGUCCUCUGGUGUCAAGCAUCGUGGACAAGUACAGGAAGGACCUUGGUUUUGAUGAGGGCAUGAAGGCUCUGGAAUCCCUUACUCUGAAGGUAAGCUCGCCCAAUCUACUUUGCUUAAAAUACAAGUUUUAAAAAGGUUUAAACGCUGUGAUUACUUAAGCUCGGGUUACAUGGUGCAGGCUCUGAGCAUUGCUCGAGGCCUUUCUCUGAAAGGGAAAGAUGAGGCCCAAAAAACCACCGAGCUCGAGGACUCCUCUCGAGCACAGGAGAAGAGGAUAGCAAACUUGGAGGCUGAGCGCUUUCUUCUUCAGAAGGAGCUCGAGGACUCGAAGAAGGAUGUCUGGAGAGCUCGAGAAGAGGCCGGAACUGCCAAGGGCGAGGCCGAAGGUUUAAAGGUCGAGAUCGAGCGUUUGAAGAUUGAUUUUGAGACUCGCCUGGCUGAAGCUCGAGGGGCUGCGAUUGAGGACUUCAAAAUGUCCGAGGAGUUUAACGGCCUUAAGGGAGAGUACGCCAUGGGCUCGUACUUCCAUGCCUUUAAGGAAGCUCGGGCAUUUUUGAGAUCGAAGCCCGACGCUAAGCCCGAGGAUUUAAAGAACAUCCCCGAGGUUGCUGAUGGCCUCGAGCUUUCAGAGUCCGAGGAAACCGUCGAGAACCAUGAGGUCGACGUUGACGGCGAGGACGCAGUGGAGGAGCAGGGGAGCACAGCCUCGGGAGAAAGGGCCGAGGACUUAGAUUAGUUUUUGUUUUUGUUUUUUUUUUCUUUCUUUUUGUAAUUUGAACAUGUAUUUUACUCGAUCAAGUAUUUUCCUUCUUGCUGUGUAUUGUUAUCUCGAUCAUGACAAACUCAAAUAGCACGACGUAUGAUGGUUAAAUAACUCGACGCCUAGAGUAGUUAAAACAUCUCGAGGACUUAAUUUGUGAAAAAAUUCUGAACAUUAUAACUUAAAAAUUUAACCCCGAGGACUCAAACUGUAAAAUCAUUUGGGAACGUGUGUGAACCCGAGCAUUAAACAAGUUACCUCGAGGACUAAAUAGUAAAAUUAUCUUGGAACAUCCAAGUGUGAACCCCGAGCACGUGGACAAGUUAGCCCGACGACUAAGGAAGAGUAAUUAAUUCGACGACUAAUUAAUCAUCUCGAUGAUUGUGAAUAACUCAAUUUGAAUUUUAAAACAAGUGAUAAUGCCGAGGACAGUGUAGGAUGUAGUUUUCUAGAUACUUAAUACUCCAGGAUUAAUUUCAAGGGAUGGUAGUCCCCGAGGUGUCCGAAUA
rnacentral:lncRNA from 1 species